GAUACCCCGGUAGUCCCAGCCGUAAACUAUGCGCGUUAGGUGUAUCGGUGACCACGAGUCACCGAGGUGCCGAAGGGAAACCGUGAAACGUGCCGCCUGGGAAGUACGGUCGCAAGGCUGAAACUUAAAGGAAUUGGCGGGGAGCACCACAACGGGUGGAGCCUGCGGUUUAAUUGGACUCAACGCCGGGAAGCUCACCGGAUAGGACAGCAGAAUGAUUGCCGGGCUGAAGACCCUGCAUGACUAGCUG
rnacentral:rRNA from 1 species